rnacentral:rRNA from 1 species
GAUGAACGCUAGCGGCAGGCCUAAUACAUGCAAGUCGAGCGGCAAGUUGAGAAGCAAUUCGAGACCUAGAGCGGCGUACGGGUGCGUAACGCGUAUGCAACCUACCUCAUACAGGGGGAUAGCCCGGAGAAAUCUGGAUUAAUACCCCAUAGUACAUAUAGAGGGCAUCUGAAAUAUGUUAAAGAUUCAUCGGUAUGAGAUGGGCAUGCGUCUGAUUAGCUAGUUGGCGGUGUAACGGACCACCAAGGCGACGAUCAGUAGGGGUUCUGAGAGGAAGGUCCCCACGCUGGCACUGAGAUACGGGCCAGACUCCUACGGGAGGCAGCAGUAGGGAAUAUUGGGCAAUGGUCGGAAGACUGACCCAGCCAUGCCGCGUGCAGGAAGAAGGCCCUCUGGGUUGUAAACUGCUUUUAUCUGGGAAGAAAAGGCCCGUGCGCGGGACAUUGCCGGUACCAGAUGAAUAAGCACCGGCUAACUCCGUGCCAGCCGCCGCCGUAAAAC